CAGCCGCCGCGGUAAUAUGUAGGGUGCAAGCGUUAAUCGGAAUUACUGGGCGUAAAGCGUGCGCAGGCGGUUUGUUAAGACAGAUGUGAAAUCCCCGGGCUCAACCUGGGAACUGCAUUUGUGACUGGCAAGCUAGAGUGUGGCAGAGGGGGGUGGAAUUCCGCGUGUAGCAGUGAAAUGCGUAGAUAUGCGGAGGAACACCGAUGGCGAAGGCAGCCCCCUGGGCCAACACUGACGCUCAUGCACGAAAGCGUGGGGAGCAAACAGGAUUAGAUACCCCCGUAGUCCCUGUCUCUUAUAC
rnacentral:rRNA from 1 species